rnacentral:rRNA from 1 species
GAUGAACGCUGGCGGCGUGCCUAAUACAUGCGAGUCGAGCGAACUUUUGGGAGCUUGCUCCCAAAAGUUAGCGGCGGCCGGGUGAGUAACACGUGGGUAACCUGCCUGUAAGACUGGGAUAACUUCGGGAAACCGGAGCUAAUACCGGAUAACAUUGAAGACCACAUGGCCUUAAAUUAAAAGGUGGCUUUUAGCUACCACUUACAGAUGGACCCGCGGCGCAUUAGCUAGUUGGUGAGGUAACGCCUCACCAAGGCGACGAUGCGUAGCCGACCUGAGAGGGUGAUCGGCCACACUGGGACUGAGACACGGCCCAGACUCCUACGGGAGGCAGCAGUAGGGAAUCUUCCGCAAUGGACGAAAGUCUGACGGAGCAACGCCGCGUGAGCGAAGAAGGCCUUCGGGUCGUAAAGCUCUGUUGUUAGGGAAGAACAAGUAUCGUUCGAAUAGGGCGGUACCUUGACGGUACCUAACCAGAAAGCUACGGCUAACUACGUG